GGGGAAUAUUGGACAAUGGGCGAAAGCCUGAUCCAGCAAUGCCGCGUGAGUGAUGAAGGCCUUAGGGUUGUAAAGCUCUUUUACCCGGGAUGAUAAUGACAGUACCGGGAGAAUAAGCUCCGGCUAACUCCGUGCCAGCAGCCGCGGUAAUACGGAGGGAGCUAGCGUUGUUCGGAAUUACUGGGCGUAAAGCGCACGUAGGCGGCUUUGUAAGUCAGAGGUGAAAGCCUGGAGCUCAACUCCAGAACUGCCUUUGAGACUGCAUCGCUUGAAUCCAGGAGAGGUGAGUGGAAUUCCGAGUGUAGAGGUGAAAUUCGUAGAUAUUCGGAAGAACACCAGUGGCGAAGGCGGCUCACUGGACUGGUAUUGACGCUGAGGUGCGAAAGCGUGGGGAGCAAAC
rnacentral:rRNA from 1 species